GGAGGAUUGGCCGAGUGGUAAGGCACUGGCUUGCUCAGCCAAGGUCGGGCCUGGAAAGCCCGCGCACGUUCGAUCCGUGCAUCCUCCGCGA
rnacentral:tRNA from 2 species